rfam:Callithrix jacchus chromosome 4, whole genome shotgun sequence
GAAAAGGCUCUUUUCAGAGCCACUUAAAAUUUCACUUAAACAGUUGU